GAUUAAAUGACAUAAUACUAGAAUGAUAAUGAAAUGACAGAAAAAGUUGUUUUAAACAGUAGGCAGUAUAUUUCACAGCCGCUCAUUUAAUACGGGCAAAAGCCCGCGAAGCGGGCGUUGACCGUUUAUUUGUAUCACUUUUCUGAAAUACAAAGAGACAUUACCUUAUAGGGAUACAAGUCAAAUAAUUUCUGCCGUCACCUAUUUUCGCGAUGGAAAAUCAUAGAGCGCUGGAGCACAUAGACACUUCGACAAACGCUAUAUGACACGUAGAUGCAUUCCUCGUGAAAUAAUACGGCAUGGCAGUAAUUAUUAAGUAGCGAAUCGUACUCUAUGUUAUUGUAUUAUGAUUUUCUACGAUCAAAAUACGUCUGUUUGCUUCCCUGUGUGACACUUCCUGUUUCCCAUAAUGCAUUGCAAAUUGAAAAUUGCUCUAGAUAUUGUAAACAAAAUCUGACAAAAAGAUAACCCGUCUAAAUUAUUUGCGUACUUCCGGUUUACCAUACCGAAUAAGAUUAGUUUCGAAUUAACUUCUUCAAUGAACCCAAUAUUCUAUAGUUAAUAUUAUCCCUUUACAUAAAUAAACAAUUGUUUAAAAGUUUAAUUUGUUCACAACAUGAAUGACCGCGUUUCUUUCGUCGACAACUAUACAUGUCUGUGUGACGUCACUGCUUUCGUCAAUACGGCAUUAAGAAGUAAAAAUUGAAACUGACAUACUCUGGUGGAUGUUUACAUUGUUGAAAUUUAAUAAAUUAAUGGAAUGCACUCGAUUGAAGCUGCUCUGUAAAAUGCUGGACUUCACACAUUCCAUGCAGCAUUCUGCUGAGCAAAACUGACUGCGUGCUUUGUACUCAACAACGAAGCAAUUCUGGACCUAUAAAGCUUGACCGGGACUGAAACAUUAGCAAUUGUGACUCUGUACUGUUCAACGUUAGUGGACUGUAAAGAAACUGCAAUUAUUGUGAAGAGACUCUGUAUGUCAGUAAGCAAAAAUAAUAUACAGCAUAACAAAUAUCAGGUGUGAAAACAAUGUGAAAGAAUAGUGAAAUUAACAAUUUGCAAUCAGGCAUGUCAAAUGAAUUGUUGAUAUUAAAAAUGAUAGUUCCCAGGCAGCUCUAGAUGUUUUUUUUCUGUAUUUCUAUUACUAGUAUUAAUUCAUAAAAUGUAUGCCACAAUUAAAAAGCACACUCUGUUUAGAGACCAUUGUGUUGUCUCAUUGUGUGAUGAUGACUUUGAGUAAUACAUUGUACAUUAAACAAUAUCUACUUAGUUGUUUUUAAGUAUCAGAUUUCUUGUUUAUUAUAUAAAUGAAUGUUAAUUUUUGCUUAAAUAUAAAUGUGCAUAAUGCAGUGCCAGUAGCACACUUUGCAAUAUUUUUAUUACAAAAGAGUAUGUUGUAAACGUAUACCUAUAAUUAAUAAUCCUUGCCUAAAAAUUCAUUUGACACACCUGAGACCAUGUGUAUUACCAUUAUUAUUUUGCCUAUUAAGCUGACCCUUUGAAAAAAUUGCAAAUAAGCGAAAAGCAGAAGUUUAGUCUUGUCAACUGUCUCUGAUUAAUUUUUUGAAGACCAUAUAAGAAGCGAAAGUGUAGGAUACGGUAUUCAUUUUAUUUGAUGACUGCUUGUUAUAAUUUCUUCAUAGAAGGCGUACUGGAUGAGUGGAGUUUUUUUUUUUUGGUUCUACAUCUUUGAUGAAGUCAACUCAUUGACAUUUAGUGCCAUGACUGAGCGUGUUUUUUAACUAACAAACGAGUGGUAGGAACUUACCGAAUAUAUGCAAACUCAUAAUAGUGUGUCUAAUACUACAUGUGUUGAGUGCACAGAAACAAGGGCGAGAAGAUAAGGGUAUAAAUGAACAAACUGAAUGUGUUAUUUUGUUUACGAGCUUGCACAUACAAAAACAUGACUUUAAUCAAUUGGGAUGUACAUGCAGUUUAAUAAUCGGGUUGUUAUUUUAUAAUCAUAUUCAUGUGGAAACUGCCUCAUUCACAUGCAAUACGCAGCUGCUGUCUAUAUGUUUAAUGCCACAUUCCAUAAUGACUGAAUAUCGUUACUUUCAAAACAUGUCAAUGAAUUAAAUUAAAUGAAAAUAAACGAAAUAAUGUAAUUAAAUUCAGGUGAAAAAUAUUUGAUUAUAUUUUAUUUAAAUAUGGUUUGGUAAAUUAUUUACUGGUAAAACAAUUCUUGUUGAGUACAUCAAGUAAAUUCGUGAUAAUAA